rnacentral:lncRNA from 1 species
CAGGCACCUGACCACCGCCAGCCACCCUUCAGGCUGCUGCUCACCACAUGCUCUGUUUGGCAGGCUGCACCUACACAGGCAGAAUCUUCUACAACAAUGAAACCUUCCCGUCAGUGCUUGACCCCUGUCUGAGCUGCAUCUGCCUGGUACGCACCACCCAACCCGACCCCAAUCCCCAGCAUCAGCUCCUGAACUCUGGAGAAGGGUCACCCCUGGUCCUGAUGGAAACCACCUCCCUGCCGUCCGUCUAGCAGGAUUCUUUAGCCAGGAUCAGGGAGUCACUGGAAAACGCCAGCUAGUUCAGUAGCUCUGCUUCAGGGUUACUGAACUCAGUGCAUCUCACCAUGUCUCUUGAGAGAAGUAGCCAGCGGAGACCAAGUCAUUUCUCCUCACUUCAUGGCUAGUGAGCCUUAGUGUACAUACUCCUGGGUCCACACUUGCACCCCAGAGCCAACCCACUGCUCAGUCUAAAAAGAGUGUUAGGUUAGUACAUAUUGAAUUUUCAUAUUUGGAAAAUAAAGGACAGAGUGGCACUGCUU